rnacentral:rRNA from 1 species
AUGUUACCCAUAUCUGUUACUAAUAAAACACAAGGGCUGUGUGGGCAAAUGUAUCUUUUUAGUGGUUAUGAUUAUUUGUUGGGAGAUUGGUUUUCAAUCAGAUUCAGGAAUCAUGGAAAUACCUACGUUUUUUUUUUGUACUCUAUCACUAUGAAUGCUGAAUUGUCAGUGGUACCAUUUUAUCUUGUGGUUUGA